GAUGAACGCUGGCGGCGUGCCUAAUACAUGCAAGUCGAGCGAACGGACGAGAAGCUUGCUUCUCUGAUGUUAGCGGCGGACGGGUGAGUAACACGUGGAUAACCUACCUAUAAGACUGGGAUAACUUCGGGAAACCGGAGCUAAUACAGGAUAAUAUUUUGAACCGCAUGGUUCAAAAGUAAAAGACGGUCUUGCUGUCACUUAUAGAUGGAUCCGCGCUGCAUUAGCUAGUUGGUAAGGUAACGGCUUACCAAGGCAACGAUGCAUAGCCGACCUGAGAGGGUGAUCGGCCACACUAGAACGGAGACACGGUCCAGACUCCUACGGGAGGCAGCAGUAGGGAAUCUUCCGCAAUGGGCGAAAGCCUGACGGAGCAACGCCGCGUGAGUGAUGAAGGUCUUCGGAUCGUAAAACUCUGUUAUUAGGGAAGAACAUAUGUGUAAGUAACUGUGCACAUCUUGACGGUACCUAAUCAGAAAGCCACGGCUAACUACGUG
rnacentral:rRNA from 1 species